CCUACGGGUGGCAGCAGUAGGGAAUCUUCCACAAUGGGCGAAAGCCUGAUGGAGCAACGCAGCGUGGGUGAAGAAGGUCUUCGGAUCGUAAAACCCUGUUAUAAGAGAAGAAAGUGCGUGAGAGUAACUGUUCACGUUUAGACGGUAUCUUACCAGAAAGCCACGGCUAACUACGUGCCAGCAGCCGCGGUAAUACAUAGGUGGCAAGCGUUAUCCGGAGUUAUUGGGCGUAAAGGGAACGCAGGCGGGCUUUUAAGUCUGAUGUGAAAGCCUUGGGCUUAACCGGAGUAGUGCAUUGGAUACUGGGAGACUUGAGUGCAGAAGAGGAGAGUGGAAUGCCAUGUGUAGCGGUGAAAUGCGUAGAUAUAUGGAAGAACACCAGUGGCGAAAGCGGCUCUCUGGUCUGUAACUGACGCUGAGGUUCGAAAGCGUGGGUAGCAAACAGGAUUAGAUACCCGAGUAGUC
rnacentral:rRNA from 1 species